rnacentral:lncRNA from 1 species
UGCAGAAUUUGGGGUCACAGCCGUUGAAUAUGGGGUCACAGCCUCUGAGUUUGGGGCCGAUUCUGCAGAGUUUGGGGUCACAGCUGCAGAAUUUGGGAUCCGGUCCGGAGAGUUUGGGGUCAAUUCUGGGGAAUUUGGGGCCAAUUCUUGGGAAUCUGUGUUCAGCCCCUGAGAUUUCGGGGCUGAUUCUGCGGAAUUUGGGGUCACAGCUGCAGAAUUUGGGGCCAAUUCUGCAGAGUUUGGGGUCGCAGCUGCUGAUUCUGCAGAAUUUGAGGUCUUGUCCGGAGAGUUUGGGGUCAAUUCUGAGGAAUUUGGGGCCAAUUCUUGGGAAUCUGGGUUCAGCCCCUGAGAUUUGGGAUCAGUCCCUGAGAUUUGGGGCCAGUUCUGCAGAUUUUAUGGUCGAUUCCUGAGAGUUUGGGGUCCAUUUGUGGGAAUUUGGGGCUGAUUGGAGGGAAUUUGGGGUCUACUGAGAAUUUGGGGCCAAUUGUGCAGAAUUUGGGCUCAGUUCCUGAGACUUUGGGGUCAAUUCCUGAGAUUUGGGGUCAAUUCUGGGGGAUUUGGGGUCAGUUCCUGAGACUUUGAGGUUAUUUUGUGCGAGUUUGGGGCAGAUUCAGCAGAAUUUGGGGUUCAGUCCGGAGAGUUUGGGGUCAAUUCUGCAGAAUUUGGGGUCAGUUCCUGAGAUUUGGGGUCGUUUUGUAGGAGUUUGGGGUGGAUUCUGUGGAAUUUGGGGUCAUUUCCUGAGAUUUUGAGGUCGGUUUGUGAGAAUUUGGGGCUGAUUCUGUGAAAUUUGGGGCUGAUUACACGGAGCUCGGGGUCAGUUCCUGAAAUUUUAGGGUCGUUUUCACUGAAUUUGGGGUCAAUUCCUGAGAUUUUGGGGUCAAUUCCUGAGAUUUUGGGGUCAGUCCAUGAGAACUUGGGGUCAAUUCUGCAGAAUUUGGGGCCAAAGACACAGAAUUUGGGCUCGGUUCCUGAGAUUUUGGGGCCAAUUUCGUGGAUUUGGGGUCUGUAAUUGGGAGUCUGGAGCCAAAUCCGUAGAAUUUGGGGUCAGUUCUGGAGAUUUUGGUGUCACAUCCUGAGAGUUUAGGGUCAAAUCCUGAGAUUUCAAGGCAAAUUCCCCCAAGUUUGGGGCCAAUUCCCAGCGAUUUGGGAUUGAUUCCCUGGAAUUUGGGUUCGACUCCUAAGAAUUUGGGGCCGAUUGCUGGGAAUUUGGGCUCAGUUCCUGGAAUUUGGGUUUUUGGUCCCAGUGGGGUCAAUUCCUGAGAGUUUGGGGUCGAUUCUUCGGAUUUUGGGCUCAGUUCCGUGCGAUUUGGGGUCGAUUCUUAGGAAUUCAGCGCUGAUUCCCCCACAAUUUGGGGCCGAUUCCCAAACAUUUGGGGUCAAUUCCUGGGAAUUUGGGUCCGCCCUUUCCCG